ACAUACCUAUCGUUCCCUCGGCGGGCUCAGCGCGCGGUGCCUCCGGGCUCCGGGCGUCCGCCGGGGACAACCAAACUCUGAUUUUAUUGUGAAUCUCUGAGGGGCGAAAGCCCGAAAACAAAAUGAAUCAAAACUUUCAACAACGGAUCUCUUGGCUCUGGCAUCGAUGAAGAACGCAACGAAAUGCGAUAAGUAAUGUGAAUUGCAGAAUUCAGGUGAAUCAUCGAAUCUUUGAACGCACAUUGCGCCCGCCGGCACUCCGGCGGGCAUGCCUGUCCGAGCGUCAUUUCAACCCUCAGGACCCCCUUUCGGGGGGGACCUGGUGCUGGGGAUCAGCGGCCUCCGGGCCCCUGUCCCCCAAAUUGAGUGGAGGUCGCGCCGCACCUCCCUGCGUAUAGCCACCUCUACCGGACAGCGACUCGGCCACGCCGUGAAACCCCCGAUUUUUUAAGGUUGACUCGGAAAGGUGGGAAACCCGCUGAACUUAAGCAUAUCAGUAAGCGGAGGA
rnacentral:rRNA from 1 species